CGACCGGCGCACGGGUGAGUAACACGUAUCCAACCUGCCGAUGACUCGGGGAUAGCCUUUCGAAAGAAAGAUUAAUACCCGAUGGCAUAGUUCUUCCGCAUGGCAGAACUAUUAAAGGAAUUUCGGUCAUCGAUGGGGAUGCGUUCCAUUAGCUUGUUGGCGGGGUAACGGCCCACCAAGGCAUCGAUGGAUAGGGGUUCUGAGAGGAAGGUCCCCCACAUUGGAACUGAGACACGGUCCAAACUCCUACGGAAGGCAGCAG
rnacentral:rRNA from 1 species